ACUCUCACCAGCCAAUUUGGACAUAAUUUCAGGCCCAUUAAUCAAAAAGAAAAAGGCACCCGUCUCAUUUGCCACAGCUCUUCCAAUCAGGGUUUUCCCCGAUCCGGGGGGACCAUAGAGAAGAAUACCUUUUGGUGGUUUCACACCAAUCGACUUGAACAACUGCGGAUGCCUCAGAGGGAGUUCAACCAGCUCACGGAUCUGAGCCAUUUGCUUCCUCAUACCCCCAACAUCAUCAUAUCCAACUUCAUUUAGUCUCUCCUCCUCUUCACGCUUGAUUGGUUCUCCCUCACAAAAGAUCUCUGUAUCAGGUGCUACAACACAAUAUUCUCCAGGCUCCGUCUCAACCACUUUAAACUCAACACUGCGCAUGCCACCUCUGACUACAAAGAGAUCGCCCUUUCUCACAGGGCGGUAAGACUCCAAGAAGUAUGGCUUCAAGUAGGCAUCAAACAGGUUGCCAGUCAUGCCUUCAAUUGUAUCAUCAAUAGGAAGAAUAUGAACACGCUUCGCAUACUUAACAUCAGGACACUGGUGCACAGAUACAACA
rnacentral:misc_RNA from 1 species